UAGAUGCGAGAGUAGAGCAUAUCAAUAAGCGGAGGAAAAGAAACUAACAAGGAUUCCCUUAGUAACGGCGAGUGAAGCGGGAAGAGCUCAAAUUUGAAAUCUUCAAGGUUCUACCUUGACGAAUUGUAGUUUAUAGAAGUGUUUUCUGUUAGUAGAGUGGCAAAAGUUCUUUGGAAUAGGGACAUCAUAGAGGGUGAGAAUCCCGUAUUUGGUCAUUCUUCUAGCGUUGUGAUACACUUUCAACGAGUCGGAUUGUUUGGGAAUGCAGUCCAAAAUGGGUGGUAAAUUUCAUCUAAAGCUAAAUAUUGGCGAGAGACCGAUAGCGAACAAGUACCGUGAGGGAAAGAUGAAAAGAACUUUGAAAAGAGAGUUAAACAGUACGUGAAAUUGUCAAAAGGGAAGCGUUUGACACCAGUGUUGUUUUUCCGAAAAUCAAUUACGAAUGUUUUAGUUUUUGAGGAGUUAUGACUUCAUCGGCUUGCUCCUUUCUUUAUGAAACUUUCUUAAUGCACUUUUCGGUUAACAAGUCAACAUCAAUUUCUUUUGUUGUAAAAGGGUAUGAGGAAGGUGGCUUUCUUUUCGGAGAAAGUGUUUAUAGCCUUGUGCCUCUGCAAUCGGAGAGAUUGAGGUCUGCAGCGUAGAUCCUUCGGGGUUAGAUACGUUUGUGCUAAGUUAUAGCUUUUCAUAGACAACUUGUUCGACUAUGUUUAGUCUUGUAGCUUACUCGCUGACGCUAUUUUACCUACGCUUAGGAUGUUGACACACGCGCGUGCUCGGCUCUAUACAUGACUCUGCGCAUAUCAAUAAGCGGAGGAAAAGGAGUAUACCUACGCUUAGGAUGUUGACACACGCGCGUGCUCGAUCUAUACAUAACUCUGCGCAUAUCAAUAAGCGGAGGAAAAGGAGUAUACCUACGCUUAGGAUGUUGACACACGCGCGUGCUCG
rnacentral:rRNA from 1 species